GUCUGUAGUCCCAGCUGCUCAAAAGAAUAUGGUGGGAGGAUCCCUUGAGCCCUUGCAGUGAGCUAUGAUUAUGCCACUGGGCGACAGAGGUCUCAAAAGUUUAACCCAAGUUAGAAAAUCAGUUUAAAUGUGUAAUACACCAAAGAAAUAACAGCUUGUUCUGUCAUAUUUAAAUAUUCAUAGUCUAGAAUGCUAAGUUUAGUGUUCCAAUCCAUUAUUCUGUAAAUGGAGGCUCAAAGAGGCCACUUGGUUAGGUUUCCUGGGGCUUUGCCCAUUCUCCCCUAGUUAUGCUCUCAGGUGUGACUCUUGUAUAUUAAUUCAUGCUCUGCCAUAAGAUGGAUUCAAACUUUGUGCUUCCACCUCUAAUGUUUAGUUUUACGAACUACUCCUUUUAUCAGCUUUAUAUUCAAGCCAGUAUAUUUACUGACUACAGUGUUUUGAGUUAAAUUCUUUCAUAAAUAAUUGAAUAGCCGGAGAAAUUUUGCAGUAUCGCAGCCAUGUUUUGAAAAGAUUGCUCUUGGUUCUUGUCUCUAAUCUUUGAGAAAGCACACAGGAUAUAGUGUGUUGGCUUUCAGAUCACUAAUAAGACCAGAUUUCUGUGGCCCCGUUUGUCGGUUUAAGGGAUCCUGUAGGGCCCACACGAGAUAUUUCACCAGCUGCACUAUCUUUAAAUUCCAACAUACACAGGUGGUCCUGCCCUGGAUAAAACUCAGCAAGCAAAAACAACCUUCGGGAGAGGUGAGGUAGGAAGUCAUAGCAUUGCCGACGGUGCAGAGCAAAUCGCUCCCGGUCUAGACCCCGCCUGCACCACAGCCGGGACAGGUUGAGGUUUCAACCCCUCUCUGGCAAACUCGGGCGCAGCCAGGCCCCGCCCAGAGAUUUCCGGGGCACGCCCCGGAAGUGCUGAGAGGGACUUCCUCCCUGCGGCGAGGCCUCGGAGCUGGUUGCUGCUCACAGGCACAGAAACGCUGAAGUGUUCCUGAAGACUCUUACAAGAAAAGCCGCUUGACUGCAUCUUUAGAGGAGUUGGUUUCGCUGGUUCCAAGGAUUCUGUUAAUGAGAAAACCCCACAGGCCAGCAUUCUGUAAGCUGGCUCCAGCAGUCCAGUUGACAGUGGCUGAGACCAGUUCCUGAUCAUCCUAUCUGAGGAACACCAGGUGCCUGACCUCGGAAAAUUUAUUUGCUUCUCAGUUUUUAUAUAUAUGCGAGGAGGACUUGAAUGUCUGCCCUGUAGGAUUAAAUGAGAUAAAAAGCAUAAAAUGCCUUCUUGGGAGUAAGCGAUCCUUUCUUCACACGGUCCAUUCUGGCCAGUUCACAAACCACUGAGAGGGAAGCCUCCAGGAUCCUAGAGUAGAUGACCAGAUGCCCAGGCGUGGGAUCUGUGGAAGGGAAAGUCAAGCUUUCUAGGCCAACAGCUGUCCUCAGUCGCUUGGUCAGAUAGUCUAACCGCAGUUUUUCAGGUGAGUUCCCUCUUGACUUUCUUCUAGGGUUUUGCAUGUGCCCUGGGGGGACACCCUCGGAGGAUGGGAAAAACUAUGUACUGCGCCAGGUCACCUCAGGCCUGCCUUUUCCCUCCAUCCUUCCCCACCCCUCCCCUCUUCCACCCACUUUCUCACACUCCUCCUCUUUUCUCUUUCCUCCCUUUUCCUCCCUCUCCAUCAUCCUCCCUUUUAUAUUUCUUUCCCUUCACUACCCCAUCUCCUGCCUGGCCCUUCUGCACUGGCAGAGUAGACCCUCAGAAACCCUGGGAGAGAGGAUGGCUGGGGCAGGCUGAUGUCUUCAGUCCUGUCCUUGGCUGUCUCUGAGGCUCUUAAAACUCCUAAUUAGAGGAGUGACUCUGACUUGCUUUUCUGACAGGGCUAAAUUUGCGAGAGUGGGGUGCAGGAAUGGAGACCUUAUUUUCUCUUGGUCUGGAUCCUCGGUUCUGCUUUGUGUUGGUUUUUGUUGUUAAUGUUGUUGUUUGUUUUGUAGAAUAUCAUUCCAUUGGGAUUUAACUGUUUUUGUCAUUAUUAUACUGAGGUUAUACAUUCUGGGGAGGAAGGCCACAAAGUUGAAGUGCCAUUCUCAUCAUAUCAAGGGUGCAUACUAUUAACUUAUAACUGUCGAGACAUAAAACAGUUUGUAAGGUGGAAAAAAGCAGAGAGACGUUAUUAGUGUAAUUUGAGUUGGGAGCAAAAAUUUUAUCAAGUUUGGACACAAAACUGGGUUUGUUCCCAAGAAAGUAGCAGCCAUCCGUUUUCUUUGGAGAGGUGAAGGGUUUAUUCUGUCACAAUUCCAGCAGAGACAAAGCAUCCCUGUUGCUGAGAUACUGUUUAUCAUAGCAACAACAGCUGCAGAAAUAGUAGUGGCAUAGCAAUGAACAGAGCUUUUUUCGUCCCCAUUUCUCUCUUCCAUCUCAAAUAGUAUGGACUCCUGUGGGUGGUACAACAUACCUGUUAAUGAUGUUGUUGUCAUUUUUCCAAACUUCUUAUCAGUUGAAUUUGUUUCUAUUGCCAUUUCUAUUCCCAUACUCCUUCAUCUGCUCUAUCUGCAAAUCUCUUGAGUUUCUGUCUUGUUUUCCAAUUUAAUUACAUAUGAUUCGCCUUUAAAAGUAGGAACUAUAUAUUAUUUUUAUAUUUAUUUAUAUUCCAGAUUAUAUGUGUAUGUUUUAGAUGCCUUUAUAGAGGAUAUUUUAUUUAUUAAUAUAUAUUUUUUGAGACAGGGUCUUGCUCUAUUGCCCAGAUUGGAGUGCAGUGGCGUGAUCACAGCUCACUGCAGCCUCAAUCUCCCAGACUCAAGUGAUCCUUCUGCCUUUGCCUCCCAAGUAGCUGAGAUGAUAGGCGUGUGCCAUGAAGAUAUAUUUAAAUAGCUGUUUGAGUUAGAUAUUCAUUCCAGCAGUUCUUUGAUGUUAUUGAGACAUGAUACAGGCUGAAUGAAAACAUUUUAUGUGAGUACCAUAUGAUUGGCGUGUCCUGGGAUUACUGAACGUGUUUGAGAGCUCUAGUCUGUAUCAUAUUAUAUUGCUUUAGCAACAGGGAAUAAAGCACAUUUCAAAGGUCUGUUUAUUAUUUUAGGAUUCAAGGCCAGAAGUGUGAACAAGGUGUCAACUUUGAAGGGCUGAAGGGAAGGUUUUUCUAAGGAUGGACCCACACCAGAAGGUCCCUAGCAUAUAUAAUGGGGAUACUUUACAGACUCCUGAGUAUGAAAAAGUCUCUCAGUAUGAGGACCAGUUAGAAAGGCAUGAGGGUAGGCGCAUGGAAGAAAGACGGUAUAAAUGCAAUGAAUGUGGAAAGAAGUUUGCCCAGAGCUCAGGCCUUGUUCGACAUCAGAGAAUCCACACUGGAGAGAAACCCUAUGAGUGUGAUCACUGUGGAAAAGCCUUUAGCGUGCGCUCAACCCUUACUGUGCAUGAAAGAAUCCACACUGGUGAGAAGCCUUAUACUUGUAAUGAGUGUAAGAAAGCCUUCAGUGUAAGGGCACACCUGAUUAUACAUCAGAGAAUCCACAAUGGAGAGAAACCCUAUGAAUGUAAUGAGUGUGGCAAAGCAUUUAGUGUGAGCUCAGACCUUAUCAAACACCAGAGAAUCCAUACUGGUGAGAAACCUUAUGAGUGUGAUGAGUGUGGAAAAGCUUUCAGUGUGAGCUCAGCCCUCAUCAAGCAUCAGAGAAUCCAUACAGGAGAAAAGCCAUAUGAGUGUAAGGAAUGUGGGAAGGCCUUCUAUGUGAACUCAGCGCUUAUUAAUCACCAGAGGAUUCACUCUGGAGAAAAGCCCUAUGAGUGUGGAGAGUGUGGAAAAGCGUUCAGCCAGAUCUCAACCCUUAUUCAUCACCAGAGAAUCCAUACUGGAGAGAAACCAUAUGAGUGUGAAGAGUGUGGGAAAGCUUUCCGUGGGAGUUCUAAUCUUACUAAACACCAGAAAAUACAUGCCAAAGGAAAGUGUCAUCAGUGAUUUAUGUGGCAAAUAUAUUCCAAAGGGCUUUUGUUACAUCAGAAGAUACCAUCGAAAGAAGAGUAUGGUUAAAGUUAAUCCCUUAAUUGACACUUCAUCCUUAAAAUACUGAAGUGAGAAAUCACUGAAAAGUAACUCCAUCAGCAUUGUUUCUAAGGCUCUAAAAUCACAUCUACUUCUGAGAAUGUAAUUUUGCAACUCAUAAGCAGGAUCUUGCUCUAUCACCCAGACUGGAGUACAGUAGUGUGAUCCCACCUCACUGCC